rnacentral:lncRNA from 1 species
GAUCAUCCAGCAUCAAAAUCAAAUUCCCGAUGAACCAGAAGGAACUUGAACAUGACCAAAGAAUCUUUGAAAAGAUCUUUCUACAAGGAGUCUAGUGCAACAAAUGGAUUCUCAUUCCGAGUUAAUCUCCAUCUGCACAUCGCUUUGGAAGUGGCUAAAAUCUACAAAAAUCUGAAAGAACGCCCCUUAUCGCCUCAACUUAGAGGGCUCGUGGAAGACACAUUCGACAUCUGAUGGAGACGAAAUUUUACAGAGACGUUCAUGAUAUUACUAGAUAGUGAUUCAACGGUGGGAUCGAAAAAGUAACAGUUCAAUGA